ACCCCCUUAGUGGGAGAGUUGCCACCGGAUCCCAUAAAAACUCCGGAGUUAAGCGUGCUCGGGUGGGAGCAAUCCUUGAUGGGUGACCUCCUGGGAAGUCCCCAGUGCGUGUGC
rnacentral:rRNA from 1 species